GAUCGAUGUCGUUUUCUGGUGUGGAGAGGUGCGAUAAUCAUCAGGAUUUGCGUGUGGACGAUAAUGAACUGUCGGAUGAGGAUGGAUCAUCGCAAUUAUUAGGGGAGAAGAAGAGGAGGCUCAAUAUGGAGCAAGUGAAAGCACUGGAGAGAAGCUUUGAAGUGGCUAAUAAGCUUGAGCCUGAGAGGAAAAUACAGUUGGCUAGAGCUUUGGGAUUGCAACCCAGGCAAAUUGCUAUAUGGUUCCAGAACAGAAGAGCAAGGUGGAAGACAAAGCAAUUGGAAAAAGAUUAUGAGAUGUUGAAAAGACAUUUUGAUUCACUUAAAACUGAUAAUGACGCACUCAAGGCCCAAAACAAGGAACUUCAUUCCGAGCUGCAGUUAUUAAGUGUGAAGAAGAGAGAAUCAUCAGGCGGAGGCGGAAUCAUGUUUAAUCUGAACAAAGAAAACGAAGGAUGUUGGAGUAAUAACGGAAGUGACGACAACAACAAUAACAACAACAGCAGCAUAGACGUAAAUCUGGGAACAAGGACAUCCUCAGGUGACAGCCCAUUUUACUCCAAGAAUGUUUUUCCACCCGAACCCGGCCCAGUCCCUCUGGCCCAGUUUCUUCAGACCUCAUCAACACCACCUGAUCAUCUCACCCAUUGCCACAAGAAUAUUGAUCCAACGGUCCAAAAUGAAGGCUUCUG
rnacentral:misc_RNA from 1 species